UAAUAAGAUGGCUGAGAAUGUUAGGCGGUAGAUUGUAAAUCUAUUUACGAGUUAAAACUCUCUUAUU
rnacentral:tRNA from 1 species